rnacentral:rRNA from 1 species
UACGGAGGGGGCUAGCGUUGUUCGGAAUUACUGGGCGUAAAGCGCGCGUAGGCGGCUUUGUAAGUUAGAGGUGAAAGCCCGGAGCUCAACUCCGGAACUGCCUUUAAGACUGCAUCGCUACAAUCAUGGAGAGGUGAGUGGAAUUCCGAGUGUAGAGGUGAAAUUCGUAGAUAUUCGGAAGAACACCAGUGGCGAAGGCGACUCACUGGACAUGUAUUGACGCUGAGGUGCGAAAGCGUGGGGAGCAAACAGG